GAUCAAGCGCGAGAAGGGCGUUUGGUGGAUGCCUUGGCAGUAAGAGGCGAUGAAGGACGUGAUACUCUGCGAUAAGCCGGGGGGAGCCGAGAAUUGGCACCGAUCCCCGGAUCUCCGAAUGGGGCAACCCACCUGAAUGUUGGUUAUUACCGCUUCACGGCGGCUAAUAACCUUCAUGAACAGGUACUCAAGACCUGAAUACAUAGGGUUUUGAGAGCAAACCCGGGGAACUGAAACAUCUAAGUACCCGGAGGAAAGGACAUCAAUAGAGACUCCGUUAGUAGUGGCGAGCGAACGCGGACCAGCCGAACCCUGAACGUGACCGGAAAUACCUGGAAAGGUAUGCCAUAGCGGGUGACAGCCCCGUACGGGAAGCGUGACGGGACGUAUCAAGUAGGGCGGGACACGUGUAAUCCUGUCCGAAGAUCGGAGGACCACCUCCGAAGGCUAAGUACUCCUUACUGACCGAUAGCGAACCAGUACCGUGAGGGAAAGGUGAAAAGCACCCCGACGAGGGGAGUGAAACAGUACCUGAAACCGAGCGCCUACAAACAGUCGGAGCUUGACUGGACUCUUAUGACGAUCCGAGGCCAUCGAGCCUUGCCAUCGUCGCGGCCCGGAGCGCAUACAGCCUCCGAGCAACGACGUGACAGGGCUUUACAAGAUGGCUGAUGGAACCUUUGCAGCGCUGCUGCUGAUCGCGGGCCUCGCGGAUAUGGGGCUCACGCAUUGCGGCAGCGGAGGCGGGUGCCUCGAGCGCACCGACGACAUCCCGCGCCUGGCCUUCUCGGCCGGCACGGUGGUGGAGCGGCGCGCCGACGAGGGCACCGAGGUCUACCUGCGAUACGAUCCGCGGACACGCUUCGGUCCCUUCGGGACCGCGCUCGGCCUCUCGGCCGGCGACGGCGUGGGCACGUGGCUCGGCGCAGGGGUGACCUGGGACUGGCAGUUCGGGCGCACGCCGUUCUACGGCGAGCUGCACGCGAUGCCGGGCCUCUACGUGGAAGGCGACGGCUUCGAUCUCGGCGGCCCGGUGGAAUUCCGGUCCGGGAUCGAGCUGGGCUACGAGGCGGCAAAUGGCUGGCGCUACGCGCUGAGCUACGACCACCGCUCCAAUGCCGGCCUCUACGACGACAAUCCGGGCAUCGAGACGGUGCAGAUACGGGUGUCGGUGCCGCUGCGAUAGGGUCAGACGGGGCUCUCCCUGCCGGGGAGGGCCUUCCGGUCUUCGCGGGGCGAAGAUCGUCAUAAGUGUCCAGUCUUGUGACGGCGUACCUUUUGUAUAAUGGGUCAUCGACUUGGUCUAUCCAGCAAGCUUAAGCCGUUAGGUGUAGGCGCAGCGAAAGCGAGUCUUAAUAGGGCGUCGAGUUGGAUGGAUCAGACCCGAAACCGAGUGAUCUAGGCAUGACCAGGAUGAAGGUUAGGUAACACUAACUGGAGGUCCGAACCCACACCUGUUGAAAAAGGUCGGGAUGAGUUGUGCCUAGGGGUGAAAGGCCAAUCAAACUCGGAGAUAGCUGGUUCUCCGCGAAAUCUAUUUAGGUAGAGCGUCAUCCGAAUACCCCGGGGGGUAGAGCACUGGAUGGGUAAUGGGGCCCCACAGGCUUACUGAUCCUAACCAAACUCCGAAUACCCGGGAGUACUAGAUGGCAGACACACGGCGGAUGCUAACGUCCGUCGUGAAGAGGGAAACAACCCUGACCUCCAGCUAAGGCCCCCAAUUCAUGGCUAAGUGGGAAAGCAAGUGAGACGGCCAAAACAACCAGGAGGUUGGCUUAGAAGCAGC
rfam:Roseivivax isoporae LMG 25204 contig86, whole genome shotgun sequence.